UACGUAGGGUGCAAGCGUUUGUCCGGAAUUAUUGGGCGUAAAGAGCUCGUAGGCGGUUUGUCGCGUCUGCUGUGAAAACCUGAGGCUCAACCUCAGGCCUGCAGUCGAUACGGGCGGACUUGAGUACUGCAGGGGAGACUGGAAUUCCUGGUGUAGCGGUGAAAUGCGCAGAUAUCAGGAGGAACACCGGUGGCGAAGGCGGGUCUCUGGGCAGUAAACUGACG
rnacentral:rRNA from 1 species